UGGGGAAUAUUGCACAAUGGGCGCAAGCCUGAUGCAGCCAUGCCGCGUGUAUGAAGAAGGCCUUCGGGUUGUAAAGUACUUUCAGCGGGGAGGAAGGGAGUAAAGUUAAUACCUUUGCUCAUUGACGUUACCCGCAGAAGAAGCACCGGCUAACUCCGUGCCAGCAGCCGCGGUAAUACGGAGGGUGGAAGCGUUAAUCGGAAUUACUGGGCGUAAAGCGCACGCAGGCGGUUUGUUAAGUCAGAUGUGAAAUCCCCGGGCUCAACCUGGGAACUGCAUCUGAUACUGGCAAGCUUGAGUCUCGUAGAGGGGGGUAGAAUUCCAGGUGUAGCGGUGAAAUGCGUAGAGAUCUGGAGGAAUACCGGUGGCGAAGGCGGCCCCCUGGACGAAGACUGACGCUCAGGUGCGAAAGCGUGGGGAGCAAACA
rnacentral:rRNA from 1 species